GGAAGUAAAAGUCGUAACAGGGUUUCCGUAGGUGAACCUGCGGAAGGAUCAUUAUUGUAUAGCCGAGGUGCGAGGGCUGUCGCUGACCCGAAAGGUCGUGCACGCCCGAGUGCCCUCACACACAUCCAUCUCACCCCUAUGUGCACCACCGCGUGGGUCCCCCUUUGGCUUGUUCGGAGGGGGGCUUACGUUUUCACACAAACUUUGUAUGCAGUGUAGAAUGUAUUUUUUGUUUUUGCGAUCUCGCAAUCAAUACAACUUUCAACAACGGAUCUCUUGGCUCUC
rnacentral:misc_RNA from 1 species